CUUGCUAAGUUUGAUGGCGACCGGCGCACGGGUGAGUAACACGUAUCCAACCUGCCUCAUACUCGGGGAUAGCCUUUCGAAAGAAAGAUUAAUAUCCGAUAGCAUAUAUUUCCCGCAUGGGUUUUAUAUUAAAGAAAUUCGGUAUGAGAUGGGGAUGCGUUCCAUUAGUUUGUUGGGGGGGUAACGGCCCACCAAGACUACGAUGGAUAGGGGUUCUGAGAGGAAGGUCCCCCACAUUGGAACUGAGACACGGUCCAAACUCCUACGGGAGGCAGCCAUG
rnacentral:rRNA from 1 species